rnacentral:rRNA from 1 species
ACGACUCUCGGCAACGGAUAUCUCGGCUCUCGCAUCGAUGAAGAACGUAGCGAAAUGCGAUACUUGGUGUGAAUUGCAGAAUCCCGUGAACCAUCGAGUCUUUGAACGCAAGUUGCGCCCGAAGCCUCGGCUGAGGGCACGUCUGCCUGGGUGUCAC